rnacentral:pre_miRNA from 1 species
CUUAAGCACAACCAUAAGUUUUUAUGUUUGAUUUUAAUAGUCCAUUUUAUUUAAUUUUUUUUAUGAUUAGCAUUUUUAUUGCUAUUAGAUGAUAAAACAUGAAUAGUAACUUAUACGUUAUUUAUGUUUUUUAAUUUUUUUCUAAAAAGUUUUAAUCGGACGAUUAAAAUUGGACAUAGAAACUCAUUGCUGCGCUUAAA